rnacentral:rRNA from 1 species
GGGUUGUGAGGUUAAGCGACUAAGCGUACACGGUGGAUGCCCUGGCAGUCAGAGGCGAUGAAGGGCGUGCUAAUCUGCGAUAAGCGCCGGUAAGGUGAUAUGAACCGUUAUAACCGGCGAUACCCGAAUGGGGAAACCCAGUGUGAUUCGUCACACUAUCAUUAACUGAAUCCAUAGGUUAAUGAGGCGAACCGGGGGAACUGAAACAUCUAAGUACCCCGAGGAAAAGAAAUCAACCGAGAUUCCCCCAGUAGCGGCGAGCGAACGGGGAGGAGCCCAGAGCCUGAAUCAGCAUGUGUGUUAGUGGAAGCGUCUGGAAAGGCGCGCGAUACAGGGUGACAGCCCCGUACACAAAAGCGCAUGUGCUGUGAGCUCGAUGAGUAGGGCGGGACACGUGGUAUCCUGUCUGAAUAUGGGGGGACCAUCCUCCAAGGCUAAAUACUCCUGACUGACCGAUAGUGAACCAGUACCGUGAGGGAAAGGCGAAAAGAACCCCGGCGAGGGGAGUGAAAAAGAACCUGAAACCGUGUACGUACAAGCAGUGGGAGCCCGUGACUGCGUACCUUUUGUAUAAUGGGUCAGCGACUUAUAUUCUGUAGCAAGGUUAACCGAAUAGGGGAGCCGGAGGGAAACCGAGUCUUAAUUGGGCGUUAAGUUGCAGGGUAUAGACCCGAAACCCGGUGAUCUAGCCAUGGGCAGGUUGAAGGUUGGGUAACACUAACUGGAGGACCGAACCGACUAAUGUUGAAAAAUUAGCGGAUGACCUGUGGCUGGGGGUGAAAGGCCAAUCAAACCGGGAGAUAGCUGGUUCUCCCCGAAAGCUAUUUAGGUAGCGCCUCGUGAAUUCAUCUCCGGGGGUAGAGCACUGUUUCGGCUAGGGGGCCAUCCCGGCUUACCAACCCGAUGCAAACUGCGAAUACCGGAGAAUGUUAUCACGGGAGACACACGGCGGGUGCUAACGUCCGUCGUGAAGAGGGAAACAACCCAGACCGCCAGCUAAGGUCCCAAAGUCAUGGUUAAGUGGGAAACGAUGUGGGAAGGCCCAGACAGCCAGGAUGUUGGCUUAGAAGCAGCCAUCAUUUAAAGAAAGCGUAAUAGCUCACUGGUCGAGUCGGCCUGCGCGGAAGAUGUAACGGGGCUAAACCAUGCACCGAAGCUGCGGCAGCGAACGUUGGGUAGGGGAGCGUUCUGUAAGCCUGUGAAGGUGGCCUGUGAGGGUUGCUGGAGGUAUCAGAAGUGCGAAUGCUGACAUAAGUAACGAUAAAGCGGGUGAAAAGCCCGCUCGCCGGAAGACCAAGGGUUCCUGUCCAACGUUAAUCGGGGCAGGGUGAGUCGACCCCUAAGGCGAGGCCGAAAGGCGUAGUCGAUGGGAAACGGGUUAAUAUUCCCGUACUUGGUGUUACUGCGAAGGGGGGACGGAGAAGGCUAUGUUGGCCGGGCGACGGUUGUCCCGGUUUAAGCGUGUAGGCUGGUUUUCCAGGCAAAUCCGGAAAAUCAAGGCUGAGGCGUGACGACGAGGCACUACGGUGCUGAAGCAACAAAUGCCCUGCUUCCAGGAAAAGCCUCUAAGCAUCAGGUAACAUCAAAUCGUACCCCAAACCGACACAGGUGGUCAGGUAGAGAAUACCAAGGCGCUUGAGAGAACUCGGGUGAAGGAACUAGGCAAAAUGGUGCCGUAACUUCGGGAGAAGGCACGCUGACACGUAGGUGAAGUGAUUUACUCAUGGAGCUGAAGUCAGUCGAAGAUACCAGCUGGCUGCAACUGUUUAUUAAAAACACAGCACUGUGCAAACACGAAAGUGGACGUAUACGGUGUGACGCCUGCCCGGUGCCGGAAGGUUAAUUGAUGGGGUCAGCGCAAGCGAAGCUCCUGAUCGAAGCCCCGGUAAACGGCGGCCGUAACUAUAACGGUCCUAAGGUAGCGAAAUUCCUUGUCGGGUAAGUUCCGACCUGCACGAAUGGCGUAAUGAUGGCCAGGCUGUCUCCACCCGAGACUCAGUGAAAUUGAACUCGCUGUGAAGAUGCAGUGUACCCGCGGCAAGACGGAAAGACCCCGUGAACCUUUACUAUAGCUUGACACUGAACAUUGAGCCUUGAUGUGUAGGAUAGGUGGGAGGCUUUGAAGAUCCGGGUUGCGGACAGUGUCUGGUGGGUAGUUUGACUGGGGCGGUCUCCUCCUAAAGAGUAACGGAGGAGCACGAAGGUUGGCUAAUCCUGGUCGGACAUCAGGAGGUUAGUGCAAUGGCAUAAGCCAGCUUGACUGCGAGCGUGACGGCGCGAGCAGGUGCGAAAGCAGGUCAUAGUGAUCCGGUGGUUCUGAAUGGAAGGGCCAUCGCUCAACGGAUAAAAGGUACUCCGGGGAUAACAGGCUGAUACCGCCCAAGAGUUCAUAUCGACGGCGGUGUUUGGCACCUCGAUGUCGGCUCAUCACAUCCUGGGGCUGAAGUAGGUCCCAAGGGUAUGGCUGUUCGCCAUUUAAAGUGGUACGCGAGCUGGGUUUAGAACGUCGUGAGACAGUUCGGUCCCUAUCUGCCGUGGGCGCUGGAGAACUGAGGGGGGCUGCUCCUAGUACGAGAGGACCGGAGUGGACGCAUCACUGGUGUUCGGGUUGUCAUGCCAAUGGCACUGCCCGGUAGCUAAAUGCGGAAGAGAUAAGUGCUGAAAGCAUCUAAGCACGAAACUUGCCCCGAGAUGAGUUCUCCCUGAGACUUAGAGUCUCCUGAAGGAACGUUGAAGACGACGACGUUGAUAGGCCGGGUGUGUAAGCGCAGCGAUGCGUUGAGCUAACCGGUACUAAUGAACCGUGAGGCUUAACCUUACAACGCCGAAG